GACGGAGGGUGCUAGCGUUGUUCGGAAUUACUGGGCGUAAAGGGCGCGUAGGCGGGCUCCCAAGUCUGGGGUGAAAUCUUUCGGCUUAACCGGAAAAGUGCCUCGGAUACUGGGAGCCUUGAGGGAGGCAGGGGCGGAUGGAACUUCCGGUGGAGCGGUGAAAUGCGUUGAUAUCGGAGGGAACGCCGGUGGCGAAAGCGAUCCGCUGGACCUCUUCUGACGCUGAGGCGCGAAAGCCAGGGGAGCAAACGGG
rnacentral:rRNA from 1 species